UUGAGUAACGAAAACAUUGGUGAGAAUUCAAUGCCCCGAAAACCCAAGGUUUCCUCCGCAAGGUUCAUCCAUGGAGGGUGAGUCAGGGCCUAAGAUCAGGCCGAAAGGCGUAGUCGAUGGACAACAGGUCAAUAUUCCUGUACUACCCCUUGUUGGUACGGAGGGACGGAGGAGGCUAGGUUAGCCAAAAGAUGCCUUUUCAGGGUAAGAAGGGGUAGAGAAAAUGCCCUGAGCCGAGGUCCGAGUAGCAAGCGCUGCAGCGCUGAAGUAUGAGCCCCGUGGACUAGCGAUUGCUUCUCCACGAGUCUCAUACCAGGCGCUACGGCACUGCAGUAUGUAACUGAUGCCAUACUCCCAGGAAAAGCUCGAACGACCUUCAACAAAAGGGUACCCGUACCCGAAACCGACACAGGUGGGUAAGUAGAGAAUACCUAGGGGCGCGAGACAACUCUCUCUAAGGAACUCGGCAAAAUAGCCCCGUAACUUUGGGAGAAGGGGUGCCCCUCACAAAAGGGGGCCACAGUGACCAGGCCCGGGCGACUGUUUACCAAAAACACAGGUCUCCGCAAAGUCGUAAGACCAUGUAUGGGGGCUGACGCCUUCCCAAUGCGGGAAGGUCAAGGAAAUAGGUGAACUGAUGACAGGGAAGCCGAUGACUGAAGCCCUGGUGAACGGCGGCCGUAACUAUAACUGUCCUAAGGUAGGAAAUUCCUUGUCGGGUAAGUUCCGACCCACUCGAAAGGCGUAACGAUCUCGGCACUAUCUCGGAGAGAUUCCCGGUGAAAUA
rnacentral:ncRNA from 1 species